ACCGGGGCUGUACCUGAGUACCGGGGCUGACCUAGUCCCGGGGGCUGACCUAGUACCGGGGUUGACCUAGUACCGGGGUUGACCUAGUACCGGGGUUGACCUAGUACCGGGGCUGACAUAAUAACAAGGUUGUUUAAGUUUCUGAUCACAUUUGUCAUGUAAAAAAAGAUCGCCAGUACAUGCAGCAGGCGAGCGAACAUACGCCUGGAUAUGUUCUGCCAGGCGCUACUGAAUGCUCGUACUGACGUUGUUGUUUAUGAGAUGGAACAUGAAUUUACACACACACACACACACACAGUCUGAACUAUAUACCUUACAUACAUACAUACAUACAUACAUACAUACAUACAUACAUACAUACAUACCAUGGAGGUUCCUCACAGCUUGUCUCCCUACAGUCUAUUGCAACUAGUUAAGACUGACAGGUGUUACCAAGGUUAAGACUGACAGGUGUUACCAAGGUUAAGACUGACAGGUGUUACCAAGGUUAAGACUGACAGGUGUUACCAAGGUUAAGACUGACAGGUGUUACCAAGGUUAAGACUGACAGGUGUUACCAAUGUCCCACUGCUUCAUGCUAUAUAUUCUUUUGUAUAUAUAAAAAGAAAGAAAGAAUUAAUUGACAUUCACUCAUGUUAUUUAAAUAUAAUUUUGUGUUCAAUUAUCUAAGUUAUGUUUGUAAAUAGAUUGUCAAAAUUAUAUAACAAAUUAUCUGGUAUGUGUGUGUGUGUGUGUGUGUGUGUGUGUGUGUGUGUGUGUGUGUGUGUGUGUGUGUGUGUGUGUGUGUGUGUGUGUGUGUGUGUGUGUCCUUCAUUUGUAUUUGAUGAUAACUACAGAAAAUAAUACAGUGACAUAAGGAAAGGUUGUUCUUGAGAAGUUCCUGUCGAUUGUUUCAAAUAAAUAUCUAAUGAGAAAAAAAAAUCGUGAUAAAAAGUUUU